CUCAGUGAUAAUGUUCUUCCCUUCUUGGAACAGAACGUUUUGAAAAAGACAGCUUAGUGCCAUAAGCCUGCUACAGUAUAUCACUUCAGUUUUGGAUCCAAUCACAAUCGCCGCUGUCGCCGCCGGAGCAGGCGGCGCUAUGGUUGCUGCACCGUUGGUCCUUGCGGGGGUCGGCUUCACAGCCGGUGGAAUAGUGGCGGGGUCCUAUGCAGCAGGUCUGAUGUCGACCGCAGCAGUGGCCAACGGAGGAGCUGUGGCAACCGGUUCACUGGUGGCUUUGUUACAGUCCGCAGGUGUUCUUGGCCUUUCAGGAGGGACUACGGCAGCAGUGGCAGGUGCUGGUGGGACACUGGGCUGGCUUGCUGCCACUGCCGUCGCUCUGAUUUGAAGGACUAAUCUGCUCUCAAGACCUUCAAGGAGUUUCUGCAAUUGGCUAAAUGAUGCGUAAUCUGGUGUUUUAUAUGCAAUACACAAAUGUUUAUUCCUCUGCAUUGUUACUUAAAAAUGUUAUUGCUUGUAGCUGCAGCUUGAAAUGUUUCAUGUUAAUGUUAACUUAUUGAUGUUCUAUUGUUAUAAAUCACUUUAUAAAUCUGCGAAA